AUUGAACGCUGGCGGCAGGCCUAACACAUGCAAGUCGAACGAGUGGCGGACGGGUGAGUAAUGUCUGGGAAACUGCCCGAUGGAGGGGGAUAACUACUGGAAACGGUAGCUAAUACCGCAUACCAUCGGAUGUGCCCAGAUGGGAUUAGCUAGUAGGUUGGGUAACGGCGCACUUAGGCGACGAUCCCUAGCUGGUCUGAGAGGAUGACCAGCAACACUGGAAAUGAGAAACGGUCCAGAUGCCUACGGGAGGCAGCAGUGGGGAAUAUGGAACAAUGGGCGCAAGUCUGAUGCAGCCAUGCCGCGUGUAUGAAGAAGGCCUUCGGGUUGUAAAGUACUUUCAGCGAGGAGGCGUUACUCGCAGAAGAAGCACCGGCGAACUCCGUGCCAGCAGCCGCGGUAAUUC
rnacentral:rRNA from 1 species